rnacentral:rRNA from 1 species
AUUGAACGCUGGCGGUAGGCCUAACACAUGCAAGUCGAACGGUAACAGGAAGAAGCUUGCUUCUUUGCUGACGAGUGGCGGACGGGUGUGUAAUGUCUGGGAAACUGCCUGAUGGAGGGGGAUAACUACUGGAAACGGUAGCUAAUACCGCAUAACGUCGCAAGACCAAAAAGGGGGACCUUCGGGCCUUUUGCCAUCGGAUGUGCCCAGAUGGGAUUAGCUAGUAGGUGGGGUAACGGCUCACCUAGGCGACGAUCCCUAGCUGGUCUGAGAGGAUGACCGGCCACACUGGAACUGAGACACGGUCCAGACUCCUACGGGAGGCAGCAGUGGGGAAUAUUGCACAAUGGGCGCAAGCCUGAUGCAGCCACGCCGCGUGUAUGAAGAAGGCCUUCGGGUUGUAAAGUACUGUCAUCGGGGAGGAGGAGAGUAAAGUUAAUACCUUUGCACAUUGACGUUACCCGCAGAAGAAGCACCGACUAACUCCGUG